GAGCACAGUGCCUAGAGGCACUGGAUUCGAUUCUCAGCACCACGUAUCAAUAAACAAAGGUUCAUUGAUAUCUAAAAAAAAUUAUAAUAAUAAUUAAAUACAAAAUAGGGCUGGGGAUGUAGCUCAUUGGUCGAGUGCCCCUGCGUUCAAUCUCCUCUACCAAAAAAAAAAAAAAAACAAGGAUAGGAGGUAGCUUUAGUAGUAGAGCAUUUGCCUAACAUAUGAAGCCCUGAGUUCAAUCUUGAGGAUGGGGGACUAUAUUUUAAGAUUCUGGGGAAAGAAUUUUUAAAAGUCAUCCUAUUGCAACAUGUUGCUGGUACUCAACCAAGGACAUUUCCCCAGUCAGAAAAGAUACCCUGAGCUACCUCCCUAUUAAAGGAAGGUGCCAGUGCAGAAUGCACUAAACAGGAGAGGAGCCAUAAUCUAGAAAAUUUUCAUCGUGUGGGUUGUACUUCUGGGGGACUGACAUAGAAUGUUGAAAAGGAUGAGCUGGAAAGUUCUGUUUUCCUUGUUCCUCUAGCAUUAUCCAGGUAAGAGAGCAUCCUGAUCAGAGGAAUAGAUUGGGCUACUUGAGAAACUGAAGAGCAUUUGUUCUUAUUCGAGUUCUGGGCUCUGCUGGCAGUCCUUGCAAUUUGAUCUGCUUGAAUGACUGCCGCAGAUAGAUCGGCACUGUGGUCCAUACAUCUAUUCUUUAUAAGUUCAAAGCAGUCCAGCUGAGUCCUUGGCCCAGGCACUCUUUUGAGGGUGUGACUACUUCAUAUCAGAAUCACAGUAUUGAGGACACUUGUGGAGACUCUACCUGAAUCUCCAACUGGCCUUUGGUAUUUUCUUCCCUGUUUGAGCACAGCCCUGGUACCUACCACUUUAUCAGCCUGUGUUGAUUGCUUUUGUUGUGUUGGGUCUAUACUGUGAUCAUUGCCUACAGACAGAAAUGAGAAUUGAAGCAUCUGAUAAAGAUGUUCGCUUGUUUUUUAAUAAAAGUUAACGUGCAACACUAGCGGGGCAUGAGUGCACAGUUGUAAUCCCAGCAACUCAGUAGGCUGAGACAGGAGGAUUGCAAGUUCAAAGCCAGCCUCAGAAACUUAGCAAGACCCUGUCUCAAAAGGACUGGGGAUGCAGCUCAGUGGUAAGGCACCCCUAGGUUCAAUCUCCAGUGCCCCCCAAAAUUAAAAAU
rnacentral:lncRNA from 1 species